AUUGAACAUAAGAGUUUGAUCCUGGCUCAGAUUGAACGCUGGCGGCAUGCUUUACACAUGCAAGUCGGACGGCAGCACAGAGAAGCUUGCUUCUUGGGUGGCGAGUGGCGAACGGGUGAGUAAUAUAUCGGAACGUACCGAGUAAUGGGGGAUAACUAAUCGAAAGAUUAGCUAAUACCGCAUAUUCUCUGAGGAGGAAAGCAGGGGACCUUCGGGCCUUGCGUUAUUCGAGCGGCCGAUAUCUGAUUAGUUAGUUGGUGGGGUAAAGGCCUACCAAGGCGACGAUCAGUAGCGGGUCUGAGAGGAUGAUCCGCCACACUGGGACUGAGACACGGCCCAGACUCCUACGGGAGGCAGCAGUGGGGAAUUUUGGACAAUGGGCGCAAGCCUGAUCCAGCCAUGCCGCGUGUCUGAAGAAGGCCUUCGGGUUGUAAAGGACUUUUGUCAGGGAAGAAAAGGCUGUUGCUAAUAUCGACAGCUGAUGACGGUACCUGAAGAAUAAGCACCGGCUAACUACGUGCCAGCAGCCGCGGUAAUACGUAGGGUGCGAGCGUUAAUCGGAAUUACUGGGCGUAAAGCGAGCGCAGACGGUUACUUAAGCAGGAUGUGAAAUCCCCGGGCUCAACCCGGGAACUGCGUUCUGAACUGGGUAACUAGAGUGUGUCAGAGGGAGGUAGAAUUCCACGUGUAGCAGUGAAAUGCGUAGAGAUGUGGAGGAAUACCGAUGGCGAAGGCAGCCUCCUGGGAUAACACUGACGUUCAUGCUCGAAAGCGUGGGUAGCAAACAGGAUUAGAUACCCUGGUAGUCCACGCCCUAAACGAUGUCAAUUAGCUGUUGGGCAACUUGAUUGCUUAGUAGCGUAGCUAACGCGUGAAAUUGACCGCCUGGGGAGUACGGUCGCAAGAUUAAAACUCAAAGGAAUUGACGGGGACCCGCACAAGCGGUGGAUGAUGUGGAUUAAUUCGAUGCAACGCGAAGAACCUUACCUGGUCUUGACAUGUACGGAAUCCUCCAGAGACGGAGGAGUGCCUUCGGGAGCCGUAACACAGGUGCUGCAUGGCUGUCGUCAGCUCGUGUCGUGAGAUGUUGGGUUAAGUCCCGCAACGAGCGCAACCCUUGUCAUUAGUUGCCAUCAUUUAGUUGGGCACUCUAAUGAGACUGCCGGUGACAAGCCGGAGGAAGGUGGGGAUGACGUCAAGUCCUCAUGGCCCUUAUGACCAGGGCUUCACACGUCAUACAAUGGUCGGUACAGAGGGUAGCCAAGCCGCGAGGUGGAGCCAAUCUCACAAAACCGAUCGUAGUCCGGAUUGCACUCUGCAACUCGAGUGCAUGAAGUCGGAAUCGCUAGUAAUCGCAGGUCAGCAUACUGCGGUGAAUACGUUCCCGGGUCUUGUACACACCGCCCGUCACACCAUGGGAGUGGGGGAUACCAGAAGUAGGUAGGGUAACCGCAAGGAGUCCGCUUACCACGGUAUGCUUCAUGACUGGGGUGAAGUCGUAACAAGGUAGCCGUAGGGGAACCUGCGGCUGGAUCACCUCCUUUCUAG
rnacentral:rRNA from 1 species